rnacentral:sRNA from 1 species
AUCCGGGAGAGAGUAUAUGCAGCAUUGCUUCAUAGCAAUCUCUCUGCCGGACUGCCGCUGAACCUAGGUGAGGGGGCGCCACAUAUA